GUCGGAACGAUGAAGCCUUUCGGGGUGGAUUAGUGGCGAACGGGUGAGUAACACGUGGGCAAUCUGCCCUUCACUCUGGGACAAGCCCUGGAAACGGGGUCUAAUACCGGAUAACACUCUGUCCCGCAUGGGACGGGGUUAAAAGCUCCGGCGGUGAAGGAUGAGCCCGCGGCCUAUCAGCUUGUUGGUGGGGUAAUGGCCUACCAAGGCGACGACGGGUAGCCGGCCUGAGAGGGCGACCGGCCACACUGGGACUGAGACACGGCCCAGACUCCUACGGGAGGCAGCAGUGGGGAAUAUUGCACAAUGGGCGAAAGCCUGAUGCAGCGACGCCGCGUGAGGGAUGACGGCCUUCGGGUUGUAAACCUCUUUCAGCAGGGAAGAAGCGAAAGUGACGGUACCUGCAGAAGAAGCGCCGGCUAACUACGUGCCAGCAGCCGCGGUAAUACGUAGGGCGCAAGCGUUGUCCGGAAUUAUUGGGCGUAAAGAGCUCGUAGGCGGCUUGUCACGUCGGAUGUGAAAGCCCGGGGCUUAACCCCGGGUCUGCAUUCGAUACGGGCUAGCUAGAGUGUGGUAGGGGAGAUCGGAAUUCCUGGUGUAGCGGUGAAAUGCGCAGAUAUCAGGAGGAACACCGGUGGCGAAGGCGGAUCUCUGGGCCAUUACUGACGCUGAGGGAGCGAAA
rnacentral:rRNA from 1 species